rnacentral:sRNA from 1 species
CUUUGGAGUAUAAUCGUGAACAUAUUAUUGUAUUUCCCGAAUGGGCAAACUUCCUAUGCAUCCAGCAAUAAACUCACCAACUACGUGUGGUAUUUUGAAGGAAUCUGUUUCUCAGGCAUCAUGAUGCUUAUAGUAACAACAGUUCUUCUGGUACUGGAGAAUAAUAACAACUAUAAAUGUUGCCAGAGUGAAAACUGCAGCAAAAAAUAUGUGGUAAGAGCAACAGUUUUUUUGAGGAUGGUUGAGUGGGCUCCAGCUUUCUUUCCUCUCACUCAGAAACACAAAAAUAUUGACAGUAUUAUACCCUCACUACUGUUGAGUACAGUACAGAGAUCAAGAGUUUACUGCCAAGAUCAUCUUCCAUUUUGCUUAGUCUUUCCUCCACUUUUGUUCUACUGAUGCACUUUCAGAAAAUCAGCAUUUAAAGAUACCUAAAAUUAGGAAAUAAUACUUUUUUUUCCUAACUGAGUUUCCAUUAGUCUAUUUUUUCUUUACAAACUUUAUUGAGGGCUAAAUUACAUAUAAUAAGUGGCAUCCAUUAAAAGUAUGCAAUAUCAUGAGUUUUAACAGUUGACUACACUCAUGAAACCACCAUUGCAGUCAAGAUAACAGAAU